AUUUUUUCCAUCAUACACAGAUCUUUAUAACUUGUUAUCCUUAAAAUGCAUCUAACAUCUCCACAAAGCCAGUCCAACUAAAAUUAUUAAGAAAAUUUGGUAACCUUAAAAGAUAUAUAACAAUUAGUAUAACUGGUAACCUUAAAAUAUAUAUAACCAUUACAUUUGGUAAACCUUCUUUGUUGUGUUUGUGUGUUGUAGUAUCUUAAGGGUCACUGUCAUGGAUAUGAAUCUUAUAUUCAUGCAUCCUAGACUCCUAGUUCCGGUCAGUUCCGUCCAACUUUUGUUUUUAAAUAAUACAUAUGUCUCCAUUAUAUUACAAUCACGUAUCCAAACUCAUAAGGCAAGUUAGGUCUCUGUUGGUCAAUUUGGUUGUAUCUACCGUUGAUAAAACCGUAACAUCCUUUGUGGUAAAAAUUGGGCAUGAAAACACAUCUAACGACAUAUGAUAACAUACAGAGAACAUUAAUUGAUUAACAAAGCACACACAUAUAUUCAUUAUGCACAUACACAUUAAAAGAUAGAGAUGCGCAGAAACACAUGACAUAACUUUCCAAUGG
rnacentral:lncRNA from 1 species